AUACGGAGGAUCCGAGCGUUAUCCGGAUUUAUUGGGUUUAAAGGGUGCGCAGGCGGCCAUUUAAGUCAGCGGUUAAAUCUUGGGGCUCAACCCCAUUCUGCCGUUGAUACUGGGUGGCUUGAUUGCGGUCGAGGUUGGCGGAAUUCGUUGUGUAGCGGUGAAAUGCAUAGAUAUGACGAAGAACACCGAUUGCGUAGGCAGCUGACCAGACCGCAAAUGACGCUCAUGCACGAAAGUGCGGGGAUCGAACAGGAUUAGAUACCCUGGUAGUCCGCACAGUAAACGAUGAAUACUUGUUUUCGGCGAUAUAAUGUCGGAGGCAAAGCGAAAGCGAUAAGUAUUCCACCUGGGGAGUACGCCGGCAACGGUGAAACUCAAAGGAAUUGACGGGG
rnacentral:rRNA from 1 species